rnacentral:misc_RNA from 1 species
UCUCCGUAGGUGAACCUGCGGAGGGAUCAUUACAGAGUUCAUGCCCUUCGGGGUAGACCUCCCACCCAGUGUAUUUAUACCUUUGUUGCUUUGGCAGGCCGCUAGGCCUCGGUCUAGCUCCUGGCUCCGGCUAGGGAGUGCCUGCCAGAGGACCCUAAAACCUGAAUGUUAGUGUCGUCUGAGUACUAUACAAUAGUUAAAACUUUCAACAACGGAUCUCUUGGUUCUG